rnacentral:rRNA from 1 species
AUUGAACGCUGGCGGCAGGCCUAACACAUGCAAGUCGAACGAGUGGCGGACGGGUGAGUAAUGUCUGUGAAACUGAGUGGGGGAGGGGGAUAACUACUGGAAACGGUAGCUACUACCGCAUACCAUCAGAUGGGCCCGGAUGGGAUUAGCUUGUUGGUGGGGUAAAGGCUUACCAAGGCGACGAUCCCGAGCUGGUCUGAGAGGAUGACCAGUCACACUGGAACUGAGACACGGUCCAGACUCCUACGGGAGGCAGCAGUGGGGAAUAUUGCACAAUGGGCGAAAGCCUGAUGCAGCCAUGCCGCGGGUAUGAAGAAGGCCUUCGGGUUGUAAAGUACUUUAAGCGGGGAGGCGUUACCCGCAGAAGAAGCACCGGCUAACUCCGUGCCAGCAGCCGCGGUAAUAC